rnacentral:rRNA from 1 species
CACGUAGUUAGCCGGGGCUUCUUAGUCAGGUACCGUCAUUUUCUUCCCUGCUGAUAGAGCUUUACAUACCGAAAUACUUCUUCACUCACGCGGCGUCGCUGCAUCAGGGUUUCCCCCAUUGUGCAAUAUUCCCCACUGCUGCCUCCCGUAGGAGUUUGGGCCGUGUCUCAGUCCCAAUGUGGCCGUUUCACCCUCUCAGGCCGGCUACUGAUCGUCGCUUUGGUAGGCCGUUACCCUGCCAACUGGCUAAUCAGACGCGGGUCCAUCUCACACCGAUAAAUCUUUUCCGUCAGUAUCAUGCGAUACCAGCGGGUUAUGCGGUAUUAGCGGUCGUUUCCAACUGUUAUCCCCUGUGUGAGGCAGGUUACCCACGCGUUACUCACCCGUCCGCCACUCAGUCACAAAAGACUCAUCCGAAGAACUUCGUUCUUAAGUGUCUUCGUUCGACUUGCUAUGUUGUUAAGCACCGCCGCCAGUCGUUCACUCCUGACGUCCAGGUACUACGAAAACUUC